GCCUCGAUAGCUCAGUUGGUAGAGCAGCGGCCUGAAGAGCCGUGUGCGGUUGGUUCGAUCCCAACUCGAGGCACCA
rnacentral:tRNA from 1 species